UCCAUAUGUAGCUACCUACUUUUAUGCUAACCUAAGAAGAUUUUAAGAGUCGUGACCCGUUUUCAUGUGGCGUGAAGUUAUUGGAUUAAACCGGUUAGCAACUAGCGUCACAAAAAGUUCUCAAAAUAUCCAUGAAAUCCUCCGAAUUUCAAAGUGGGCCUGCACAUACUUUGCAAGAACAAGGAUUGUGUGAAGGCACAUAGAGAAUGGAUUUUGAUGUUUUCCUUGAGCAGUCCAACAUCCCUUUCCUGCCUUCCAAAUAGAGUUUUGACGCCCAACGUGGGGCUAGAACCCACUACUCUGACAUGUCCCAUUGUGGACGGACCCAACCCAUUUCUUCUGAAAUACUGCAAUUCUCUCUGGCACUACAGCAUAGUUUCUCUUCACUGUUCAUUUCCGUUAUUUGCUCUUAUUACAUGAAUAAGAAAGCCGAAAAUAUGAAAGGAGGGGCUUAAAAAGGUCAAUGUCACCCGAAUGAAAAAACGAAAGGUAGCUAAAACUAAUAACUUGGUAUUUACACUGGAAGGAAAUCUUGUGGCGGACCAGAUUCUUUUUGAACUUCAUUAGUUUCGUCUUCCAUAUGUAGGUACCUACUUUUAUGCUAACAUAAGAAGUUUUUAAGAGUCAUGACCCGUUUUCAUGUGGCGUGAAGUUAUUGGAUUAAACUGGUUAGCAAAUAGCGUCACAAAAAGUUCUCAAAAUAUCCAUGAAAUCCUCCGAAUUUCAAAGUGGGCCUGCACAUACUUUGCAAGAACAAGGAUUGUGUGAAGGCACAUAGAGAAUGGAUUUUGAUGUUUUCCUUGAGCAGUCCAACAUCCCUUUCCUGCCUUCCAAAUAGAGUUUUGACGCCCAACGUGGGGCUAGAACCCACUACUCUGACAUGUCCCAUUGUGGACGGACCCAACCCAUUUCUUCUGAAAUACUGCAAUUCUCUCUGGCACUACAGCAUAGUUUCUCUUGACUGUUCAUUUUCGUUAUUUGCUCUUAUUACAUGAAUACGAAAGCCGAUGCCAACCCAUUUCUUCUGAAAUACUGCAAUUCUCUCUGGCACUACAGUAUAGUUUCUUUCACUGUUCAUUUCCGUUAUUUGCUCUUAUUACAUGAAUAAGAAAGCCGAAAAUAUGAAAGGAGGGGCUUAAAAAGGUCAAUGUCACCCGAAUGAAAAAACGAAAGGUAGCUAAAACUAAUAACUUGGUAUUUACACUGGAAGGAAAUCUUGUGGCGGACCAGAUUCUUUUUGAACUUCAUUAGUUUCGUCUUCCAUAUGUAGGUACCUACUUUUAUGCUAACAUAAGAAGUUUUUAAGAGUCGUGACCCGUUUUCAUGUGGCGUGAAGUUAUUGGAUUAAACUGGUUAGCAAAUAGCGUCACAAAAACUUCUCAAAAUAUCCAUGAAACCCUCCGAAUUUAAAAGUGGGCCUGCACAUACUUUGCAAAAACAAGGAUUAUGUGAAGGCAUAUAGUGAAUGGAUUUUGAUGUUUUCCUUCAGCAGUCCAACAUCCCAUUCGUCCUUUCCAAAUAGAGUGAUGACGCCCAACGUGGGGCUCGAACCCACGACCCUGAGAUUAAGAAUGUGAUGCUCUACCGACUGAGCUAGCCGGGCACUCUGACAUGUCCCAUCGUGGACGGAUCCAACCCAUUUCUUCUGAAAUACUGCAAUUCUCUCUGGCACUACAGCAUAGUUUCUCUUCACUGUUCAUUUUCGUUAAUUGCUCUUAUUACACGAAUAAGAAAGCCGAAAAUAUGAAAGGAGGGGCUUAGAAAGGUCAAUGUCACCGGAUGAAAAAACAAAAGUGAGCUAAAACUAAUAAACUAACUUGGUUUGUAAAAACAAAAUAUAUAAAUAAAAUAAAUAUCACUUUCCCUCCACUGCUGGGACCAGUGACAGAAUACUCAAAAUCUCUCCGAGAAAACCUCCUUCCUUCCUCUCUCCUCCCACUGUCUCUGUGUAUCUCUCCCACUGCUGUCUAAUAAUACCUCUGUUCAGCUCAACAUAGGGGCCUUUGAUAGCACCGGCUACUCCAGGCUACAAUUCGUCAGCCAUGACGUCAAUGCAUCCAAACAUAUAGGGCUGUGUGUAGAAGAGAACCUUACUGUGGGUGGGUUAGCUGGGCCUGCUUCACCCAUGACUUUUAGCUUCCCAUGGUUUUUGAGUACAGUGAAUAAAAAAACAAAGUUAUGAAUGCUGGAAAGGUGAGGAGAGGGUGCACAUUACAAAAAACAACAUUGAACGAUCAAAUGACUGGCAGCAUUUGUUCACAAACAAAACAUGGAGAAUCAAUGUAAAACAUCUUAAUUAAAGUUCAAAAACCAUACAUUUACGGAAACUUUCAUUAAAUCACUGUUACAUCACUGAUUGGUUGAGGCCAGAUGCGCAACAUUUCAUUAUUACAUUACAUUACAUGUAAUUUAGCUGACGCUUUUCAUCCAAGGCAACUAAGUGCAUUUCAACCAUAAGAAUACAAACUCAGAAGAACAAGACACAAGAAAGUGCAAUUUCAUCAAAUAACCCAAUUUACAUCUUCAAAAGCAGUGCAGCAUUGUACUGGACUGCAUUAUGUUUGAUGUAGUGAAUAAGGAUUUAUCUUAAAAAUACAAAGAAAAUCAAAAUUAUUACUAUGGAUAUGAACUUUUAUAUUACGUGCAACAUAUUUAAUUACAGAUCAUUGUUGUUAUUAAAUACAUAAAUAAAUUUGCAUGUUAUUUAAGGAUGCAGUAAAGAUACUGUAUCAAUAAGACAUAAAUCAAUAACCUUUUCAUGUAUAUAUAUAUAUAUAUAUAUAU
ensembl:lncRNA